rnacentral:rRNA from 1 species
UCUUGUAGAGGGGGGUAGAAUUUCAGGUGUAGCGGUGAAAUGCGUAGAGAUCUGAAGGAAUACCAGUGGCGAAGGCGGCCCCCUGGACAAAGACUGACGCUCAGAUGCGAAAGCGUGGGUAGCAAACAGGAUUAGAUACCCUGGUAGUCCACGCCGUAAACGCUGUCUACUUGGAGGUUGAGGUUUAAGACUUUGGCUUUCGGCGCUAACGCAUUAAGUAGACCGCCUGGGGAGUACGGCCGCAAGGUUAAAACUCAAAUGAAUUGACGGGGGCCCGCACAAGCGGUGGAGCAUGUGGUUUAAUUCGAUGCAACGCGAAGAACCUUACCUACUCUUGACAUCCAGAGAACUUUCCAGAGAUGGAUUGGUGCCUUCGGGAACUCUGAGACAGGUGCUGCAUGGCUGUCGUCAGCUCGCGUUGUGAAAUGUUGGGUUAAGUCCCGCAACGAGCGCAACCCUUAUCCUUGUUUGCCAGCACGUAAUGGUGGGAACUCCAGGGAGACUGCCGGUGAUAAACCGGAGGAAGGUGGGGACGACGUCAAGUCAUCAUGGCCCUUACGAGUAGGGCUACACACGUGCUACAAUGGCAGAUACAGAGGGCAGCGAAGCUGCGAAGUGGAGCGAAUCCCUUAAAGUUUGUCGUAGUCCGGAUUGGAGUCUGCAACUCG